GGUUCGGGUCUGUGCAGCGUUAUGCCGCCAACCCGGUCAGGUCCGGAAGGAAGCAGCCGUAACGGUCUCUGGCGCGUGCCGCAGAUACCCGGGCCCAC
rnacentral:SRP_RNA from 1 species